UACGGAGGGUGCGAGCGUUGUCCGGAAUCAUUGGGCGUAAAGGGCGCGUAGGUGGCGGGACAAGCGUGCGGUGAAAGCCUGGGGCUCAACCCCGGGUCGGCCGUGCGAACUGUUUUGCUUGAGCACUGUAGAGGCAGGCGGAGUUCCGGGUGUAGCGGUGGAAUGCGUAGAGAUCCGGAAGAACACCGGUGGCGAAGGCGGCCUGCUGGGCAGUAGCUGACACUGAGGCGCGGCAGCGUGGGGAGCAAACAGG
rnacentral:rRNA from 1 species